rnacentral:snRNA from 1 species
AUACUUACCUGGCUGGAGCUCGACCCUGAUCAACUCAGGGGGUUGACUUGGGCCGGAGCAGGCCUUCAUGCACUCCGGUGCUGUAAUGGCCUAGGAGUGCCUUCGGGUUCCUCCACAGCGCAAUUUUUGCCAGCGGGGGUGUGCGCGUGCGCCACCCCCAC